rnacentral:rRNA from 1 species
AAUCAACGCUGGCGGCGUGCCUAACACAUGCAAGUCGAACGCGAAAACCCCGCAAGGGGUUAGUAGAGUGGCAAACGGGUGAGUAACACGUGGGUGACCUGCCUUCGAGUGGGGGAUAACGUCCCGAAAGGGACGCUAAUACCGCAUGACAUCCUGCUUUUGGAAAAGCGGAGAUCAAAGCUGGGGAUUCGCAAGAACCUGGCGCUUGAAGAGGGGCCCGCGCCUGAUUAGCUAGUUGGAGGGUAACGGCCUACCAAGGCGACGAUCAGUAUCCGGCCUGAGAGGGCGGACGGACACACUGGGACUGAGACACGGCCCAGACUCCUACGGGAGGCAGCAGUGGGGAAUAUUGGACAAUGGGCGAAAGCCUGAUCCAGCCAUGCCGCGUGAGUGAAGAAGGCCUUAGGGUUGUAAAGCUCUUUCAGCGGGGAAGAUAAUGACGGUACCCGCAGAGAGUCCCGGCUAACUUCGUGCAGCAGCCGCAGUAA